ensembl:lncRNA
UUUACACAUGGCAACAUGCACAAAAUAUUAAAUGUACGGCGUGAAUUUUUUAUGUGGAAGCCAGUAUAGCAACAGUUUAGAUAUGAUUCAGAAAAUUUUCAGCACCCCUGAAGUUUUAAUCAUACCCCCUUUAUUUAGGUCAGCAACCACAGACUAGACACUCCCUGCACCCCUCCCCUUGGGAACUGCCAUGUCUCUUCAUUGUAUUACCAUAGAUUUAUUUCAUCUGUGAUUGAGCUUCAUAUACACAGACUCACACACAUGUACUGUUUCAUGGACCUUCUGUUUGCAAGAGUUACAUGGUGAACAUAAGCCUAGUCUCAUCUUCAUUGUCAUAAGAUGCUACUCUAUGACUAGAGCACAAUUUACCCAUUCUACUGCUGGACAUUUGUAUUAUUUUCAGGUUUGGGCUACUAUGCAUACAGCUGUAGUGAGCAUUAUGGGAUAUGCUUUUUUGAUGGACAUCAACACAUAUGUGAAAUUACUCAGAAAUAAGUUCAUGAACCUGGGCAGCCAAUCUGACAUUAUCUCUUCUGAGUUAACUCAAAGGACAAUUGACUCUCCUUGGGGAAGAAAUGGAACCUAGGAAUGGCAUCUUCUGCUUAGUGGUAACUAGGGUAAUACUUUGGGAAUUAGAAAGCAAUUGCAUAUGUAGAAUCAAUCAAAAACAAUGUUAAAAUAUAAGUAUUGAGAGCAUUCUUAUAUGGUUUAUAAUAUGGUCUUCCUAGAUAUAUACCUAAAAAUAUUGAAAGUAUAUAUUCACCAAAAGGCUCUUACAAAAAUUUCAUAGCAACUUUAGUUACAAUAGCUCUACACCAGAAUCAACUCAAGUAUCCAUCCAUGGAACAAGGGAUAAAUGAACUGUGAUAUAUUCAUAAAAUAAAAUGCACAACAAUAAUAGAAAACAAUUGUUUCAUAUAAUAACAUGGAUGAGUUUCAUAGACAAAAUGUUAAGCAAAAGAGUAUAUUUUUCUAUUAAUAUGAAAUUCAAGAACAGAUUAGUCAGUAGAAGUCAUAGUAGUGAUUAUGAGGGGCUGGUAUUGACUGGAAAGGGACAUGAGGAGGCUUUCUGGAAUCUUCUUUGUCUUGACCUGAGUGAUAGUUAAAUGGAUGGAUGAAUAGUGUAAAUUAAUUACACUUUAGAUUGGUGUGCUAUACUGUAUAUAUUUUAAAUUUCAAUAAAACUUGAGUGGUAUGAGGUAAUAAUAUAAAAAAACUCAAGUGGUAAUUGUUGUCAAGGAUGUCAAGAAAAGGAAACCCAUGUAUACUGUUGGUGGGAAUAUAAACUAGUACAGCCAUUAUGGAAAAAAUUACAGAGGUUCCUCAAAACAUUGGAAAUAUAACUACCAUAUGAUCCAGCAAUCCCACUUCUAGGUAUAUAUCCAGAGGAAAUGAAAUCAACAUCUCAAACAUAACUACGCUUUCCCACUUACUGGCCCAUUAUUCAUAAUAGCCAAGAUAUGGAAACAGCCCAAGCAUUCAUCAACAGAAGAAUGGAUAUAGAAAAUUGGGGGGGGGGGAUGAGAUGGAAUAGUAUUAAAGCCUUUAAAAGAAGUAAUUCCUGACAUUUGUGAUAAACUAGAGGACCAUAUGUUAAGUGAAAGCUAGGCAACAAAAGACAAAUCCUGAUUGCAAAAUCUCAUUUAAUAUGUAGAAUCUUAAAAAAGGCAAACUUGUGGAAACAGAGAGUAGAAUGGUGGAAGCCAGGGGCUGGGAAUUUUGGUUAAAGGGUACAAAUUUUCAGUUAUAAGAUUAAUAAGUUCUGAAGAUCUAAUAUACUGCAUGGUAAUUAUACUUAAUGUGUACUUAAAAUUUGCUAAGAGAGUAGAUCUUAGUGUUCUGUAACUAGGUGAGGUGAUGGACAUGGUAAUUAGCUUGAUUGUGGUAAUUGUUUCACGAUGCAUACAGAUAUCAAAACAGCACAUUGUACACCGUAAAUAUAUACAGAUUUUAUUGUCAGUUAUACCUCAUUAAGCUGGAGAGG